CCACUCUGUCAGGAUCUGUGUGCUGUGUCUGGUGUUGUUCACUGUGCUUGGCCUCUAGGUGGCUCUGAGACCGUGAGGAGUGGUGACAGGUGUUCCCUAUCUCCAUAAUCAUCCUUGGAGGGUAUUUAAGACGGAGGCUGCCAGCAAUUCAGCGCCAGAGUGUUGCCCUCAGUGGCUGCAUACCUGAACCUGACUUCAUUUUCAGCAUUGUUUGCUGUCCUGGAUUUGUGAUUCUGGAGAUUGAUCUCCAAACCUUGUGGAUUAAAGCCUGGGCACCCAGCCCACUUCGUCUUCUCACAACUGGCUGGCAGCUUCCUGUCUGGAUGAACCACGGACCACUUCAAGCGAACCCUGUCCACCCUCCAUCACAAUAAGACCAACACCAGUACCUCAGAGCCCCACAACGUGUGUCAAUUACCUACCAGCUCCGGUCUCCUCUGUGCGCACCUUCGUUGUUGUUUUCCCUCCUCCUGGCAGAUCACCCUUCAUCCCUAGUAAGACAGACUUGUUAUUUAGUAAUAUUCACUCUUAAGAUUUAUGUUACUUACCUUGCAGUUUGUUUCCCGGUUCCAGCUCCUUCCGUAUCUCCAUGCUUCCUGUAAAUGUAUUUGUUGAACUUGAUCUCUCUCCUGAAUGCUUACUUCAUGUGGGUCAAAACUGUCUGAAAAACUGACACACUCAAGGUCUACUGUAUAUGACAAGGAUGCUUUUAGUGGAAAACUGCCAUCCUAUAACAACUAAGCAAGUGGACAAUUGUUUUGUGCGAUUGGUGAUGUGCUGCUAAAUGCAGCCAGCCUUUCUUGUGUUCAACUUUUCUUGUAUAAACGUCUCUCAUGUGACCAAGACUCAAUUCAUUCUAAUACCUCUACUCUUCAAAAGGAACACAAAGCCUCCUUCUGAUGCUUGCAUAUUGUGUAUAUAAUGAUUAUCUAAUAAGUUAGGGUUGCAACAGCAAAAACUGAAAAAAAAUGUUUGCUUCUGGAGUCUGCUUAGAAGGGCUUCUAGUUGAAUACACAUGAAUGAAUCACUCAGUGGUGGGGAUUACAAUAUACUUUACCUCCGUCUGCAUUACUGUGAUUAAUUCUUGCCAAAAAUAAAAUGCUGUGGAUAUGGUCAUCUCUGCACAACCACUCUAAAA